rnacentral:rRNA from 1 species
UACGUAGGGUGCGAGCGUUGCCCGGAUUUAUUGGGCGUAAAGGGCGCGUAGGCGGCCACGCACGUCCGUUGUGAAAUCGCCCGGCUCAACUGGGCGGGGUCAGCGGAUACGGUGUGGCUCGAGCAAGCUAGGGGGCAAUGGAAUUCCCGGUGUAGUGGUGGAAUGCGUAGAUAUCGGGAGGAACACCAGUGGCGAAGGCGGCUCACUGGACCACAACUGACGCUGAUGCACGAAAGCUAGGGGAGCAAACAGG